rnacentral:snoRNA from 1 species
AUGGCAUGAUGGGGACAUUUUCUGAUGAGGUCCUUUAAUCUUUCCCAUGCCUCAUAGAACUGCGUACCAUCUUGUUGUGAGAAGCUAGUGAGAGCUCACCUUAUCUU